CGGGGCAUAGUGCAAUGGCAGCACGAGUCCUUUGGGAGGAUUUAAUCUCAGUUCGAAUCUGAGUGCCCCGA
rnacentral:tRNA from 1 species